GAUGAACGCUAGCUACAGGCUUAACACAUGCAAGUCGAGGGGUAACGAGAGGAAAGCUUGCUUUCCUUGUCGACGACCGGCGCACGGGUGAGUAACGCGUAUCCAACCUGCCCCCAACUAAGGAAUAACCUUGCGAAAGUAAGACUAAUACCUUAUACUUUCCUCAUAUGACAUCUGAAGAGGAAUAACGAUUUCUCGGUUGUGGAUGGGGAUGCGUCUGAUUAGUGUGUUGGCGGGGUAACGGACCACAAAGGCAACGAUCAGUAGGGGUUCUGAGAGGAAGGUCCCCCACAUUGGAACUGAGACAAGGUCCAAACUCCUACGGGAGGCAGCAGUGAGGAAUAUUGGUCAAUGGGCGAAAGCCUGAACCAGCCAAGUAGCGUGCAGGAUGACGGCCCUAUGGGUUGUAAACUGCUUUUAUACAGGAAUAAAGUUAGCCACGUGUGGUUAUUUGUAGGUACUGUAUGAAUAAGGACCGGCUAAUUCCGUGCCAGCAGCCGCCGUAA
rnacentral:rRNA from 1 species